UACGUAGGGUGCAAGCGUUAAUCGGAAUUACUGGGCGUAAAGCGUGCGCAGGCGGUUUUGUAAGUCUGUCGUGAAAUCCCCGGGCUCAACCUGGGAAUGGCGAUGGAGACUGCAAGGCUAGAAUCUGGCAGAGGGGGGGUAGAAUUCCACGUGUAGCAGUGAAAUGCGUAGAUAUGUGGAGGAACACCGAUGGCGAAGGCAGCCCCCCUGGGCUAAGAUUGA
rnacentral:rRNA from 1 species